GACGAACCGCUGGCGGCGUGCUUAGCACAUGCAAGUCGAACGUGAUUUUUGUGGAAAUUCUUUCGGGAAUGGAAGUGAAAAUGAAAGUGGCGAACGGGUGAGUAACACGUGAGCAACCUACCUUACACAGGGGGAUAGCCGUUGGAAACGACGAUUAAUACCGCAUGAGACCACAGAAUCGCAUGAUAUAGGGGUCAAAGAUUUAUCGGUGUAAGAAGGGCUCGCGUCUGAUUAGCUAGUUGGAAGGGUAAAGGCCUACCAAGGCGACGAUCAGUAGCCGGUCUGAGAGGAUGAACGGCCACAUUGGAACUGAGACACGGUCCAAACUCCUACGGGAGGCAGCAGUGGGGAAUAUUGCACAAUGGGGGGAACCCUGAUGCAGCGACGCCGCGUGAGCGAAGAAGGUUUUCGAAUCGUAAAGCUCUGUCCUAUGAGAAGAUAAUGACGGUAUCAUAGGAGGAAGCCCCGGCUAAAUACGUGCCAGCAGCCGCGGUAAUACGUAUGGGGCGAGCGUUGUCCGGAAUUAUUGGGCGUAAAGGGUACGUAGGCGGUUUUUUAAGUCAGGUGUGAAAGCGUGAGGCUUAACCUCAUUAAGCACUUGAAACUGGAAGACUUGAGUGAAGGAGAGGAAAGUGGAAUUCCUAGUGUAGCGGUGAAAUGCGUAGAUAUUAGGAGGAAUACCGGUGGCGAAGGCGACUUUCUGGACUUUUACUGACGCUCAGGUACGAAAGCGUGGGGAGCAACAGG
rnacentral:rRNA from 1 species